CCUACGGGAGGCAGCAGUGGGGAAUCUUGCACAAUGGGGGAAACCCUGAUGCUGCGACGCCGCGUGAGGGAAUAAGUAAUUCGUUAUGUAAAGCUCUAUCAGCAGGGAAGCAAAUGACGAUACCUGAGUAAGAAGCCCCAGCUAACUACGGGCCAGCAGCCGCGGUAAUACGUAGGGGGCAAGCGUUAUCCGGAUUUACUGGGUGUAGAGGGAGCGUCGACGGGAGUGCAAGUCUGGAGGGAAAGGCGGGGGCUCAACCCCCGGACUGCUCUGGAUACUGGACGGGUGGAGUGCAGGAGAGGUAAGUGGAAUUCCUGGUGUAGCGGUGAAAUGCGUAGAUAUUAGGAGGAACACCAGUGGCGAAGGCGGCUUACUGGACUGUAACUGACGCUGAGGCUCGAAAGCGUGGGGAGCAAACAGGAUUAGAUACCCCAGUAGUC
rnacentral:rRNA from 1 species